UCCUUUGUCGUUACUGACUCCGGUAUUCGUGAUAUUUUUUCUUUUAAUUGUAUUUACUUUGCAUUAUCUGGGGUUAUUGUUAUUCGAUGUUUCACGAUUCUCGGGUGUUUUCACUCGGUAGUUGCUAUCUGGAAUUAUCUUUCUUUGGGAGCUGGAUAAUAAAAUUCCGAGCUCAACCUCGUGGCUCCAUUUUACUAAUUUCAAAAAUUUCAAUCACCGACUGUAAUGAAAUAUUGAUCUACUCCAUGGAAUUUGGAAUCACGGGCUUAUUGUUUACAUCUGCCGGGUGGAGGAGAUUUUGUAAUCAGCUGUUUUUUUUUAAAUUGUCGUGGGAUAAUGGGGGGAGAGGCGGGUAUUUAAUGUCAUGCAGAGAACAACCUGUUCGUAAUUUAUCAUAUAUAAAAGAAAAGUAAAAAUAAUCUGGACACCGCCCUCUACAUCUUCCCAAAAAACAUGUGGAGUUUGUCGAAUUACGGGAAAUAUGCGGUUAGAUGAUUAAAAUGUAGAGAUGGUAAAUGCGGGUGCGGUUCUCUGGUUGUCGUUGCGUGUGCCAGAGAAAGAAGUUAUUCUUGUUGAGCUGUCAGUGAAUGGCGGCCAUUUUGCCAUCAGCUGAGGGCGUCGGUGACGACAUCAACAGAGUGGAAUAUCUGAACGAGAAAAUCUAUUCCACGAGUGCAACAAAGCCGGUACCCCAUGUAUUUCAGCCGGAAUUUCCAAGGCUCUAUUUCCACCGAUUAGCUGACGAUGUGCUGAAACAUGGUGUAAUUAAGGAUCUUCUUAAGCACUUGGAUAAUGAGAGAGGUAAUGGAUGUUGUUACAAUAAAACGAUGUAAUAGCCCCAAAUCUACCAUUUUAAAUCAUUAAAAUGCCAUUAAAAGAGAGGAGCUGCGGUGUUUACGGGUGAUACGUGCCGGUGAGACUUGAGACGGAUUUUUUUAUUUUUCCUCUCUUUCCGUUAUGGCCUCAUAAGAGUUCGUGUCAGCUGGAAACUACCAGUGACGAAAUCCUGGGAUUUGGAAUAUCUUAUCAAGCAGAUUGCACUGACUUCUUUCUAAUCUGUCCUCUUCUAUUUGGUUCGCCGGCUUUUCAUUUAUAAUAUUGUGGAAUUUGCGUGGAAUUUUCUGGAAUUCUCGGUGAUUUUUGAAAGGAAAAUAGAUUUUCAGAGGAACUGGUGGGGAAGUAUGGGUAUGACAGUUAUGAUUGCACGGGAGAAAGAGAAAGUCUCAUUGAGUUUUUGAUAAGUGAAGUGAGAGGGGAUUGAGAGUGGGAUAUUGCCCUCGGGUGGUAAAUAUUAUUGCGGAGGUUUAAAAGGCCGCAACAAAGGAAUAGUGUAAGUAAGUGUACACAUUGAAUAUCGAAAUACCACACAUUGGCAAUUGGACAGAGGCAAGUCAAGUAUUCCCCCAGUAACCGGUGGCCUAUCCUAGAUUUAUUUCCGUGGACGUUGCGCAAUGCACUCUGCGUGACAGCGUGACGGCGACACCGGUUGGUCUCCCAAGUUCCUCUAUGUACUUUACAUAUGUAUCAUUUUAUACCCGUCUCUUGUUCGACACACCAUUAUUAAUUUACAGCCGCUAUGCGUACCUCCAGGAGAAUCACAACUUAUCGCCACACUCUGAAAAAUUUCGCUAAAUAUGCUAAAUAUUUUUUACGACGAAAAAUCGGGGGCUUUAUGCAAUUUCAUUUCAAAUUCUCAGAGUUACUCCAAAAUAUUUUUGGAGUUUUUAAAUAUAUGUU